AAUAAGAGAGAUCAACACUAGUCAGCGAGUUUUCGCCCACUAGUGCAAUACCU
rnacentral:sRNA from 1 species